rnacentral:rRNA from 1 species
GACGUAGGAUGCAAGCGUUGUCCGGAUUUAUUGGGCGUAAAGAGUUCGUAGGCGGUUUAUUAAGUUUGGUGUUAAAUACUGAGGCUCAACCUCGGAAAUGCAUUGAAUACUGGUAGACUCGAGUACAGUAGAGGUUAGUGGAAUUCCCAGUGUAGCGGUGAAAUGCGUAGAUAUUGGGAAGAACACCGGUGGCGUAAGCGACUAACUGGGCUGUAACUGACGCUGAGGAACGAAAGCCAGGGGGAGCAAAUGGGGAUUAGAUACCCCAGUAGUCCUGGCCGUAAACGAUGGAUACUAGGCGUAGCGGGUAUCAACCCCUGCUGUGCCGUAGCUAACGCGAUAAGUAUCCCGCCUGAGUAGUACGGCCGCAAGGUUGAAACU